UUCUUUCAUCAGAUUUAAGAAUUUUAUUUUUCAAUCAUACUUUUACCGGAACAGACUUGGCUGCAUCCAGAUGGUUAAGCCGGCACGUCCCGAGAAGGUACUCCGGCAGCUCCUCCUUUGUAUUUGCCUGUAGGUUUCCGCAUGAAAUAUUUACAAUUUUGGACAUUUAUGGAAGUGUAAGAUCAAAGACACUGAAAUUCCAUUUUAUUUUUCCAUUCAUUGUUUUUGCUAAGUGUUUGUUGUUUUACCUGUAUCAAAAAUGCCAUUUCAAUAACCAGAUUGUUGAGGUAACCAAGCACAAGACUGACUACACCUCUUGCCACUGUUGAUGAUCCGAUGUCGAUCCCAAGCUGAAAACAAAAAAUUACGAAGUUUCAGUAUGCCGGAGUUUCUCAUGCUAUUUACAAUUGUCAAAAUCCACUUUGAACACUGAUUGUUUAAAAAUGAGGCAAUGUUAUAAAUUUACCUCC
rnacentral:lncRNA from 1 species